rnacentral:rRNA from 1 species
GGUUAGAUACCCUAGUAUGAAAAAUGGAAUGAAUUGGUAUAUAUUUGACACUUAAAAAUUUUGGCGGUUAUUGGCUAGACUAGAGGAGCUUGUUAUUGAUGAGAAUUUGCGCUUUAUAUUUUACUGGAUUUAAAUGUUUAUUCAUCUCCGUUAUUAGAUAAAAAUUGAAUAAAAAUUAAUUUUAUAUUUCAGGUCAAGAUGUAGCUUUAAUCCUGGAUUAAUUAGCUACAAUUAUGUAAUAUUUUUGGAUCUUAUUGGAGAGUUCAGCGGAGAAAGUGAAUUUGGCUGUAAUGGUAAUUAAAGAGUUCUUGUGAAAAGAUACUAAUAAUGUACAGAUUGCCCGUCACUUCUAUGGUAGAUGAAGAAUAAGUCGUAACAUAGUA